AACGAACGCUGGCGGCAUGCCUAACACAUGCAAGUCGAACGAGAUCUUCGGGUCUAGUGGCGCACGGGUGCGUAACGUGUGGGAAUCUGCCCUUUGGUUCGGAAUAACAGUUGGAAACGACUGCUGGUACCGGAUGAUGACGAAAGUCCAAAGAUUUAUCGCCAGAGGAUGAGCCCGCGUAGGAUUAGCUAGUUGGUGUGGUAAAGGCGCACCAAGGCGACGAUCCUUAGCUGGUCUGAGAGGAUGAUCAGCCACACUGGGACUGAGACACGGCCCAGACUCCUACGGGAGGCAGCAGUGGGGAAUAUUGGACAAUGGGCGAAAGCCUGAUCCAGCAAUGCCGCGUGAGUGAUGAAGGCCUUAGGGUUGUAAAGCUCUUUUACCCGGGAUGAUAAUGACAGUACCGGGAGAAUAAGCUCCGGCUAACUCCGUGCCAGCCGCCGCCGUAA
rnacentral:rRNA from 1 species